rnacentral:tRNA from 1 species
GGCCUUAUAUUCAUUUAUGUGAUAAUAGAAUGCAAUUCUGUAGGGGUAAUUUUAAUUAUUAAGGCUU